AACGAACGCUGGCGGCAUGCCUAACACAUGCAAGUCGAACGAAGGCUUCGGCCUUAGUGUCGCCCGGGUGCGUAACGCGUGGGAAUCUGCCCUUUGCUUCGGAAUAACAGUUAGAAAUGACUGCUAAUACCGGAUGAUGUCGCAAGACCAAAGAUUUAUCGGCCAAGGAUGAGCCCGCGUAGGAUUAGCUAGUUGGUGGGGUAAAGGCCUACCAAGGCGACGAUCCUUAGCUGGUCUGAGAGGAUGAUCAGCGACACUGGGACUGAGACACGGCCCAGACUCCUACGGGAGGGAGGAGAGGGGAAUAGAGGAAAGUGGGGGAAAGGAUGAACGAGCAAGGACGGGAGAGUGAUGAAGGCAGGAGGGAAGUAAAGCGCUUGUAACCGGGAAGAUAAUGACAGUACCGGGAGAAAAAGCCACGGCUAACUACGUG
rnacentral:rRNA from 1 species